rnacentral:rRNA from 1 species
GAUGAACGCUAGCUACAGGCUUAACACAUGCAAGUCGAGGGGAAACGACAUCGAAAGCUUGCUUUUGGUGGGCGUCGACCGGCGCACGGGUGAGUAACGCGUAUCCAACCUGCCCGCCACUUGGGGAUAACCUUGCGAAAGUAAGACUAAUACCCAAUGAUAUCCCACGAAGGCAUCCGAAUGGGAUUAAAGAUUUAUCGGUGAUGGAUGGGGAUGCGUCUGAUUAGCUUGUUGGCGGGGUAACGGCCCACCAAGGCAACGAUCAGUAGGGGUUCUGAGAGGAAGGUCCCCCACAUUGGAACUGAGACACGGUCCAAACUCCUACGGGAGGCAGCAGUGAGGAAUAUUGGUCAAUGGGCGAGAGCCUGAACCAGCCAAGUAGCGUGCAGGACGACGGCCCUAUGGGUUGUAAACUGCUUUUAUAAGGGAAUAAAGUGAGCCUCGUGAGGCUUUUUGCAUGUACCUUAUGAAUAAGGACCGGCUAAUUCCGUG